UACAGGGGGUGCAAACGUUGCUCGGAAUCAUUGGGCGUAAAGCGCACGUAGGCGGUUCGUUAUGUCGGAUGUGAAAGCCCUUGGCUUAACCGAGGAAGUGCAUCCGAAACUGGCGAGCUAGAGUACUAAAGAGGAUCGCGGAAUUCCCGGUGUAGAGGUGAAAUUCGUAGAUAUUAGGAAGAACACCAGUGGCGAAGGCGGCCAUCUGGCUCGGUACUGACGCUCAGGUUCGAAAGCGUGGGGAGCAAACAGG
rnacentral:rRNA from 1 species